rnacentral:rRNA from 1 species
GCUGGCGGCAUGCUUAACACAUGCAAGUCGAACGGCAGCACUAGGAGCUUGCUUCUAGGUGGCGAGUGGCGAACGGGUGAGUAACGCGUAGGGAUCUGCCCUAUAGAGGGGGAUAACCCGGGGAAACUCGGACUAAUACCGCAUACUAUUCUACGGAAGAAAGCAGGGGAACACGAAAGUGUCCUUGCGCUAUGGGAUGAACCUGCGUUGGAUUAGCUGGUUGGUGAGGUAAGGGCUCACCAAGGCGACGAUCUAUAGCUGGUCUGAGAGGAUGAUCAGCCACACUGGAACUGAGACACGGUCCAGACUCCUACGGGAGGCAGCAGUGGGGAAUAUUGGACAAUGGGCGCAAGCCUGAUCCAGCAAUGCCGCGUGUGUGAAGAAGGCCUGAGGGUUGUAAAGCACUUUCAGUAGAGAAGAAAAGCCGAAGGUUAAUACCCUUCAGUCUUGACGUAACCUACAGAAGAAGCACCGGCUAACUCCGUG